AAAGCAGAAGCAAAUUGUGGACCGGGUCAGCUACCUCCUGCAGGAGAUCUACGGCAUCGAGAACAAGAACAACCAGGAGACCAAGCCCUCGGAUGACGAGAACAGCGACAACAGCAAUGAGUGUGUGGUGUGCCUGUCCGACCUGCGGGACACGCUGAUCCUGCCCUGCCGCCACCUGUGCCUCUGUACCUCCUGCGCUGACACGCUGCGCUACCAGGCCAACAACUGCCCCAUCUGCCGGCUGCUUUCCGCAGCAUGACAUCCCCACCUCAGCUUCCCCAGUGUGAUGUCCCCCGCCUGCCAUCCUGUCCUACAGCCAAGAGCUCCUCUGGGCUCAGCCGGGGCCGCUGAUUUGCAGCCACGUCCUGUACCGGGUGCAGCCUGGAGCUUCAGGGCUGUGACGCUUUGGGCGUCUUGGCCACCAGCCUCUUGGAAACACCCUCUGGAGCCCCGCCUUGGGCAGCACUGCGUGGCCUUGCUGUGUCUCCUGCCCGGGGCCAUUUCAUUAAUACUGUGUUUGCGGGAGUUCUGUCUCUCGUCUUUGGAGCGCCCCCUCCCUCUAUUUCUGUACAGGGGAGCUGCAUCUUUCUUCCCCCAUCUUUCCUGGCUAUUAAAUUCCUGCUCCUUAAAACUAAAAGAAAAAAAA
rnacentral:sRNA from 1 species